rnacentral:rRNA from 1 species
AGCGAACGCUGGCGGCAGGCUUAACACAUGCAAGUCGAACGGAUCCUUCGGGAUUAGUGGCGGACGGGUGAGUAACACGUGGGAACGUGCCUUUUGGUUCGGAACAACACAGGGAAACUUGUGCUAAUACCGGAUGUGCCCUUCGGGGGAAAGAUUUAUCGCCAUUAGAGCGGCCCGCGUCUGAUUAGCUAGUUGGUGAGGUAAAGGCUCACCAAGGCUACGAUCAGUAGCUGGUCGAGAGGAUGAUCAGCCACACUGGGACUGAGACACGGCCCAGACUCCUACGGGAGGCAGCAGUGGGGAAUCUUGCGCAAGUGGGGGAAACCCUGACGCAGCCAUGCCGCGUGAAUGAUGAAGGUCUUAGGAUUGUAAAAUUCUUUCAGCGGGGACGAUAAUGACGGUACCGCAGAAGAAGCUCCGCUAACUUCGUGCCAGCAGCCGCUGUAAU